GAACCUUACCAGCGUUUGACAUGGGUACUAUGGUUAGCAGAGAUGCUUUCCUUCACUUCGGGUGGGUACCACACAGGUGCUGCAUGGCUGUCGUCAGCUCGUGUCGUGAGAUGUUGGGUUAAGUCCCGCAACGAGCGCAACCCUCACCUUCAGUUGCCAUCAUUUAGUUGGGCACUCUGAAGGAACUGCCGGUGACAAGCCGGAGGAAGGUGGGGAUGACGUCAAGUCCUCAUGGCCCUUACGCGCUGGGCUACACACGUGCUACAAUGGUGGUGACAAUGGGUCGCAAGUACGCGAGUACAAGCUAAUCUCCAAAAGCCAUCUCAGUUCGGAUUGCACACUGCAACUCGAGUGCAUGAAGUCGGAAUCGCUAGUAACCGUGGAUCAGCAUGCCACGGUGAAUACGUUCCCGGGCCUUGUCACACCGA
rnacentral:rRNA from 1 species